rnacentral:rRNA from 1 species
CUAUACAUGACUCUGUGCAUAUCAAUAAGCGGAGGAAAAGAGAUACUAACAAGGAUUCCCUUAGUAACGGCGAGUGAAGCGGGAAGAGCUCAAAUUUGAAAUCUUCAAGGUUUUCCCUUGACGAAUUGUAGUUUAAAGAAGUGUUUUCUGUUGGAGUUUCGGUAAAAGUUCUUUGGAAUAGGACAUCAUAGAGGGUGAGAAUCCCGUAUUUGACCAUUACUUUCCAACUUUGUGAUACACUUUCAAAGAGUCGGAUUGUUUGGGAAUGCAGUCCAAAAUGGGUGGUAAAUUUCAUCUAAAGCUAAAUAUAGGCGAGAGACCGAUAGCGAACAAGUACCGUGAGGGAAAGAUGAAAAGAACUUUGAAAAGAGAGUUAAACAGUACGUGAAAUUGUCAAAAGGGAAGCGUUUGACACCAGUGUUGUUUUCUCGAAAAUCAAUUAAAAAUGACCGGAUUUUGUGUUGUAUUGACUUUAUCAGCUUUCUGCACUUUUUUCUUGUCUUUUUUAAUGCACUUUUCGUUUAACAAGUCAACAUCAAUUUCUUUUGUUGUAAAAGAGUCAUUGGAAGGUGGCUUUCACUUCGGUGAAAGUGUUUAUAGCUCUUUAGCUUCUGCAAUCGGAGAGAUUGAGGUCUGCAGCGUAGAUCCUUCGGGGUUAGAUACAGUUUGUGCUAAGUUAUAGUUUUUCAUAGACAACUUGUUGACUAUGUUUAGUCUUGUGACUUACUCGCUUACGCUAUUUUACCUACGCUUAGGAUGUUGAUAUGCAUGACUGAUAU